AGCCCGCUCAGAAACUUAAAGGAAGUUGACGGGGGCCCGCACAAGCGGAGGAGCAUGUGGUUUAAUUCGAUGAUACGCGAGGAACCUUACCUGGGCUCGAACGUAAGAUGACUGUAGGUGAAAGCUUACAUCUCUUCGGAGCAUUUUACGAGGUGCUGCAUGGUUGUCGUCAGCUCGUGCCGUGAGGUGUCGGGUUAAGUCCCAUAACGAGCGCAACCCCUACCUUUAGUUGCCAUCAGGUUAAGCUGGGGACUCUAAAGGAACUGCCUACGCAAGUAGUGAGGAAGGCGGGGAUGACGUCAAAUCAGCACGGCCCUUACGUCCAGGGCUACACACGUGCUACAAUGGCCGAUACAGAGGGCAGCUACCUGGUGACAGGAUGCAAAUCUCCAAAGUCGGUCUCAGUUCGGAUCGGAGUCUGCAACCCGACUCCGUGAAGUUGGAUUCGCUAGUAAUCGCGCAUCAGCCAUGGCGCGGUGAAUACGUUCCCGGGCCUU
rnacentral:rRNA from 1 species